AUUGAACGCUGGCGGCAGGCCUAACACAUGCAAGUCGACCGAGUGGCUGACGGGUGAGUAAUGUCUGGGAAACUGCCUUAUGGAGGGGGAUAACUACUGGAAACGGUAGCUAAUACCGCAUACCAUCGGAUGUGCCCAUAUGGGUUUGGCUUGUAGGUGGGGUAACGGCUCACCUAGGCGACGAUCCCUAGCUGGUCUGAGAGGAUGACCAGCCACACUGGGACUGAGACACGGUCCAGACUCCUACGGGAGGCAGCAGUGGGGAAUAUUGCACAAUGGGCGCAAGCCUGAUGCAGCCAUGCCGCGUGUAUGAAGAAGGCCUUAGGGUUGUAAAGUACUUUCAGCGGGGAGGCGUUACCCGCAGAAGAAGCACCGGCUAACUCCGUGCCAGCAGCCGCGGUAAUUC
rnacentral:rRNA from 1 species